AUACGGAGGGUGCAAGCGUUACUCGGAAUCACUGGGCGUAAAGGAUGCGUAGGCGGAUAAUCAAGUCAAAAGUGAAAUCCUACAGCUUAACUGUAGAACUGCUUUCGAAACUGGUUAUCUAGAAUAUGGAAGAGGCAGAUGGAAUUAGUGGUGUAGGGGUAAAAUCCGUAGAGAUCACUAGGAAUACCGAUUGCGAAGGCGAUCUGCUGGGACAUUACUGACGCUGAGGCGUGAAAGCGUGGGGAGCAAACAGGAUUAGAAACCCUAGUAGUCC
rnacentral:rRNA from 1 species